UUUGUUAAUUAUUUGUAACUUUAUUUUAGUAGAUGAUGUGUAAUUAAAAUGGGAGUAGUAUUAUUUUGUGUUUAUUAUAGUGUAUAUAAUUAUUGUAUGUAUUUCAUUGCGCAUGCGUAAAAGUUACUUCGUGCUCACGACGAUCACUAUUACUUCUAAAAUGUCCGCUUGUGAAUGUUUUCAGUGUUUUAUAACUUUUUAUUCAAUACUGGAAUGAUUAUUUAUCUGUUACUUAUUUUUAACUUUAUUUUAGUGCAAUUGAAUAUUGUAAUGACAAUAAUAUUGUUUUUGAGUUCCUUAUAAUGUGUAUAUAUACAGUUCUCCGAUUCUAUUUCUCCAACGCUGCGUUGCUUGCUUGAAACAUUUAUACAGUGCGUGUUCGGCAUCGUCUGGUUCUUUGUUACACUCUCAACGCUUAUUAUGAGUACUUCUAUUUAUCCUAUAUCUGUUCUCUGACUUUAUUCUCCAAGUCUAUACGCUGCAUCGCUCACGUAGGACAUGCACAGUGCAUGUUCGGCAUCAUCUGGUUCUUCAUUACAUUGUCAGCACUUAUUAUGACUACUUUUAUUUAUGUUAGAUUUUUUCCUGUUGCCUUCUUAACUCUUCCACUAGUGUGUGCUUCAAUAUUCCGUAUGUAUUCACUUAAAUUUGGUAGUAAGCUUUUCAUAACUGUUUCGGCUUUUGUGUAUACCUUUUUUCGAUGUGAGUAGUGAAUUUCCUAUUAUUAUCAAGUUCUAGUCCAAAGUAUUUUAUAACAUUCUUUUUUUUAAUUUUCUCAGGUUAUAAUUGUCAAUCUUAAUUUUUAUUACUUUUGGUAUUCUCAUACCUGUAAGUAAAGUGGUCUCAGUUUUUUUUUCAUUGGCCAACUGUAAGUCUGUUGUCGAACAUCAAUUAUUAACAGUUAUCAUCAUUUCUUUUAGUUUAACUUUAAUAUUGUUAUAAAUAUUUAAUAUUCUUUUCUUUCUUUCUUUUUUUUUAAAUUGUUUCAGCUGAUCGUCGUAUACUAUGUUUUACAAAAAUGGACCCAUAACCAAUCCCUGUGGAAUUCCUGCACAUACAUUUCUUUUUACGAAUAAUUACUUAUCUACAAGCCUCAUUGAUUUAUAAGGUAACGAAGAGAACGAUUAUUCUUAGUUGAGAGAAUCCGUAUAUAUGUUGUCCUUGACUGUUCGCUGGUUAUGAGAACCAAUAUAGUGACUCUCCUGAUGGCGUAGAAGUAGGAGCAGUCGGAGCAGUAGGAACAGUCGGAGCAGUAGGAACAGUCGGAGCAGUAGGAACAGUCGGAGCAGUAGGAACAGUCGGAGCAGUAGGAACAGUCGGAGCAGUAGGAACAGUCGGAGAGAUGAAGGAACUGUAGGAACUCUAGGCACCGUGAGAGCCGAUGGAAAACUCGGAACUGAGGCACUGUGAGAGCCAAAGGAACUCUCGGAACUGUAGUCACUUUGAGAGCCGAAGGAACUCUAGGCCUUGUAGGCACUGUGAGAAGUAAGGAACUCUCGGAACUGGAGGCACUGUGAGAGCCGAAGGAACUCUGAAGUUUGUUCUGAUGUGAUUACAGAGGAAAGCUUGGUAUGGAUGUGCCCUUUGAACAAAGAACGCGGAUUCGUUGCUUACAUUUUUAGUUAGGAAAAUGAGGGCAAUGAUCCGCGAUGCCGAUUGGUUAUGACCGAUGCUGGGAAGGAAGAUGAGAGGAAGAAGCCUCUUACCAACGUGAUUCAUGGGCGACAUUAUUUAUGGGAAAAACCAGCCUUUCCGUUAGGCAAUUAUUUCGUUUUUCCCAUUAGGUAACUACUUCCUUUCUCCGUAAUUUGGCAGAAUGUACAGUAGACCGAAGGACUUUUUAAGUACCAGUUAUAAACCGAAAAUACUUGCAGGAUUAAAGCUUCCUGCCAACUAAUAAGACUCGGUUUAUGGCGGGGCCUUAGGUUUAUUGAGGGUUUCUUUAACGAUGCUUGGGCCUUGACGGUCAGACAAUGAAGGACGUCGCGUGGACCUUUUCACGCGACGUAACAGGGUUCUCCGGCCAAGUGCCCAAAGACUAAUUCGUGGAGUACAGGGGAGUUAUAAGAAAACAUGUCUAAUUCUACCCACUCGUCCCCGUUUCUGGAAUUUUCGAUGUAUAACUUGAGAUAUUCGGUUAAUAGAUGGUGAGAUCUUUCGAUUGAACUAUUGCUUUGUAGGUGGUAUGCCGACAUAGUGUAUUGUUUGAUGCGAAAUCUCUUUGCUACUUUCUUUAUCAGCGAAGAUGUAAAGUUCGCUUCCUGGUCGGCAAGAAUGGCUAUCGGUGACCCGAAUCGGCAAAUAAAUCGUUUUACGAAAACGUUUGUUAUCUCAGCUGAAGAGAUCCCUUCCAUCGGAAUCCCGAUCGAAUACUUUGUCAAUAAAUCUUGAAUAAUUAAUAUAUAUUCAUUUCCCUUUUGUGUUGAGGUGAUGGGCGUGAUAGGUCUAGAAGAAU